GGACUACUGGGGUUUCUAAUCCCGUUUGCUCCCCUGGCCUUCGUGCAUGAGCGUCAGGUAAUGCCCAGAGAUUCGCCUUCGCCACUGGUCUUCCUCACGAUAUCUACGCAUUUCACUGCUACACCGUGAAUUCCAAUCUCCUCUACAUACCUCUAGCGGAGCAGUAUCGAAUGCAGUUUAGGGGUUGAGCCCCUAAAUUUCACAUCCGACUUACCCCACAGCCUGCGCACCCUUUACGCCCAAUGAAUCCGAACAACGCUUGAGACCUCUGUAUUACCGCGGCUGCUGGCAC
rnacentral:rRNA from 1 species